UACGAAGGGGGCUAGCGUUGCUCGGAAUGACUGGGCGUAAAGGGCGCGUAGGCGGAUGGCUUUGUCGGGCGUGAAAUUCCAGGGCUUAACCUUGGGGCUGCGUUCGAGACGGGUUGUCUUGAGUGGGGAAGAGGGUCGUGGAAUUCCCAGUGUAGAGGUGAAAUUCGUAGAUAUUGGGAAGAACACCGGUGGCGAAGGCGGCUCACUGGCUCAUAACUGACGCUCAUGCACGACAGCGUGGGGAUCAAACAGG
rnacentral:rRNA from 1 species